UACGGAGGGUGCGAGCGUUGUCCGGAAUCACUGGGCGUAAAGGGCGCGUAGGUGGCCCGUGGAAGUCUGCGGUGAAAGCCCGGCGCUCAACGCCGGGUCGGCCGUGGAUACUCUCGGGCUUGAGCUUACUAGAGGCAGAUGGAAUUCCGGGUGUAGCGGUGGAAUGCGUAGAGAUCCGGAAGAACACCGGUGGCGAAGGCGGUCUGCUGGGGUAAUGCUGGACACUGAUGCGCGACAG
rnacentral:rRNA from 1 species